rnacentral:lncRNA from 1 species
GGGAGCGGGGCGCGGCCCAGCUCGCCCGCGCGGAGCCAUGAAGCAGCUGUGCCUCUGCGCCGCCACCUCCUUCGCGCUGCGGCUCAGCCCCGCCGACCUCGGCUCCUGCCCAGCCUGCCCCAUCC